rnacentral:rRNA from 1 species
UACGAAGGGGGCUAGCGUUGUUCGGAUUUACUGGGCGUAAAGCGCGUGUAGGCGGACUUGUAAGUUGGGGGUGAAAUCCCGAGGCUCAACCUCGGAACUGCCUCCAAAACUACAAGUCUGGGGCAAGAUAGAGGCAAGUGGAAUUGCGAGUGUAGAGGUGAAAUUCGUAGAUAUUCGGAAGAACACCAGUGGCGAAGGCGACUCACUGGACACAUAUUGACGCUGAGGUGCGAAAGCGUGGGGAGCAAACAGG